rnacentral:rRNA from 1 species
GGUAUGUUCUUCGGAACAGAGACCGGCGCACGGGUGCGUAACGCGUAUGCAAUCUACCUUUUACAGAGGGAUAGCCCAGAGAAAUUUGGAUUAAUACCUCAUAGCAUAGCAGUCUCGCAUGAGAUCACUAUUAAAGUCACAACGGUAAAAGAUGAGCAUGCGUCCCAUUAGCUAGUUGGUAAGGUAACGGCUUACCAAGGCUACGAUGGGUAGGGGUCCUGAGAGGGAGAUCCCCCACACUGGUACUGAGACACGGACCAGACUCCUACGGGAGGCAGCAGUGAGGAAUAUUGGACAAUGGGCGCAAGCCUGAUCCAGCCAUGCCGCGUGCAGGAUGACGGUCCUAUGGAUUGUAAACUGCUUUUAUACGAGAAGAAACACUCCAACGUGUUGGAGCUUGACGGUAUCGUAAGAAUAAGGAUCGGCUAACUCCGUGCCAGCAGCCGCGGUAAUACGGAGGAUCCAAGCGUUAUCCGGAAUCAUUGGGUUUAAAGGGUCCGUAGGCGGUUUAGUAAGUCAGUGGUGAAAGCCCAUCGCUCAACGGUGGAACGGCCAUUGAUACUGCUAAACUUGAAUUAUUAGGAAGUAACUAGAAUAUGUAGUGUAGCGGUGAAAUGCUUAGAGAUUACAUGGAAUACCAAUUGCGAAGGCAGGUUACUACUAAUGGAUUGACGCUGAUGGACGAAAGCGUGGGUAGCGAACAGGAUUAAAUACCCUGGUAGUCCACGCCGUAAACGAUGGAUACUAGCUGUUGGGAGCAAUCUCAGUGGCUAAGCGAAAGUGAUAAGUAUCCCACCUGGGGAGUACGUUCGCAAGAAUGAAACUCAAAGGAAUUGACGGGGGCCCGCACAAGCGGUGGAGCAUGUGGUUUAAUUCGAUGAUACGCGAGGAACCUUACCAAGGCUUAAAUGUAGAUUGACCGGUUUGGAAACAGAUCUUUCGCAAGACAAUUUACAAGGUGCUGCAUGGUUGUCGUCAGCUCGUGCCGUGAGGUGUCAGGUUAAGUCCUAUAACGAGCGCAACCCCUGUUGUUAGUUGCCAGCGAGUCAUGUCGGGAACUCUAACAAGACUGCCAGUGCAAACUGUGAGGAAGGUGGGGAUGACGUCAAAUCAUCACGGCCCUUACGCCUUGGGC